CCACCCACUCCAAAUGUCAUGCUGAGUUCUCAACAGACUUCCGUUUCCCGUUUCCUUUUUCCCCUCUCUCUGAUUUUUUUCUUCAAAGUCUAUUCAAAAGCUGCUGCCAAAACCAUCUUCCUCUAUUGUUGUUCUGAUGACAUCAUUCCCUUCCCCAGCUCCCCUUGUCUUUGGUCUCAUGACCACAGUUUGCCUUCAUUUCCUUGGGCUGCCACUGUGCCUGCCUCUACCUCCUUUCCCCCUGAUUUCCCGCUGCUUCUCACCAACUGUGACGCAGGAUUAUCACUGCUGAUGUCCCAGUGCUGAGGUAUCUAUUAUCUUCUAACAAAGAAGAGUAUUCCCAUUCCACUACCCAGACUUUCCCAGGUCUCUUCUAAACUCAUUUUAUUUAUGUAUUCAUUGCUCACGAGUAUACUAAGCACCUUCUGCAUGUGUUCUAGGUACUAGAGGAGAGAGAGAGAGAGAGAAGAAGAAAAGACAUAAUCUUUUUUUUCUCUCUUUAUGCCAGCUGCUCUGGCCAGCUUAAAAAAAGACAAUCUUUAAGAUCAAAAUUGCCAGGAAGCCAUUUAAGUUGGGGCUUUUGGAAACCAACUAGAACUUACUCUCCCUUAGAACCUGAAGGAAUGAGUAGCAGGAGAAAAUUAUACAAUGAUACAAAAUAACUAUACCAUUCGGGAUAGUAGAUUUGGGAUAAUUCUAAUCAUUUCAUCACCUUGAGACAGGGUCUUGCUCUGUCACCCAGGCUGGAGUGCAGUGGUAGAAUCACAGCUCACUGCAGCUUCAACCUCUCGGGCUCACGCGAGCCUCUCACCUCAGCCUCCCAAGCAGCUGGGACUACAGUCAUGUACCACCACACCCUGCUAAUUCUUUUUCUUGCCCAAGCUGGUCUCAAACUCUUGAGCUCAAGCAGUCCGCCUGCCUCGGCCUCCCAAAGUGCUGCAAGUACAGGCUUGAGCCACCUCGUUUGGCCUCUAGCUCAGUAAUUAAUCUGACACUUGGUGACUGGCAUACUGGUUUGCAUUUCUCAUUCCUCAGUUUCCUCGCCUGUAAAAUGGGGGUAGUGACAUCUACCUAUUCAUCUUUUAAGAUUGUUA
rnacentral:lncRNA from 10 species